AAUCAACGCUGGCGGCGUGCCUCAGACAUGCGAGUCGAACGCGAAACCUUCCUUCGGGAGGGGAGUAGAGUGGCGCACGGGUGAGUAACACGUAGGUAAUCUACCUUUGGGUGGGGAAUAACAGCCGGAAACGGCUGCUAAUACCGCAUAAUGCAGCGGCUCGACAUCGAGACAGUUGUUAAAGCGGGGGAUCGUAAGACCUCGCGCCUAAAGAGGAGCCUGCGGCAGAUAGCUAGUUGGUAAGGUAACGGCUUACCAAGGCGACGAUCUGUAGCCGGCCUGAGAGGGCGGUCGGCCACACUGACACUGACAUACGGGUCAGACUCCUACGGGAGGCAGCAGUCGGGAAUUUUGGGCAAUGGGCGAAAGCCUGACCCAGCAACGCCGCGUGAAGGAUGAAAUCCCUCGGGAUGUAAACUUCGCAAGAACGGGAAGAAUAAGUAGAAGCGAUACCUUCUAUGAUGACGGUACCGUUUGUAAGCUCCGGCUAACUCCGUGCCAGCCGCCGCCGUAA
rnacentral:rRNA from 1 species